rnacentral:rRNA from 1 species
GGCUGUCUCCACCCGAGACUCAGUGAAAUUGAACUCGCUGUGAAGAUGCAGUGUACCCGCGGCAAGACGGAAAGACCCCGUGAACCUUUACUAUAGCUUGACACUGAACAUUGAGCCUUGAUGUGUAGGAUAGGUGGGAGGCUUUGAAGUGUGGACGCCAGUCUGCAUGGAGCCGACCUUGAAAUACCACCCUUUAAUGUUUGAUGUUCUAACGUUGGCCCCUAAUCGGGGUUGCGGACAGUGUCUGGUGGGUAGUUUGACUGGGGCGGUCUCCUCCUAAAGAGUAACGGAGGAGCACGAAGGUUGGCUAAUCCUGGUCGGACAUCAGGAGGUUAGUGCAAUGGCAUAAGCCAGCUUGACUGCGAGCGUGACGGCGCGAGCAGGUGCGAAAGCAGGUCAUAGUGAUCCGGUGGUUCUGAAUGGAAGGGCCAUCGCUCAACGGAUAAAAGGUACUCCGGGGAUAACAGGCUGAUACCGCCCAAGAGUUCAUAUCGACGGCGGUGUUUGGCACCUCGAUGUCGGCUCAUCACAUCCUGGGGCUGAAGUAGGUCCCAAGGGUAUGGCUGUUCGCCAUUUAAAGUGGUACGCGAGCUGGGUUUAGAACGUCGUGAGACAGUUCGGUCCCUAUCUGCCGUGGGCGCUGGAGAACUGAGGGGGGCUGCUCCUAGUACGAGAGGACCGGAGUGGACGCAUCACUGGUGUUCGGGUUGUCAUGCCAAUGGCACUGCCCGGUAGCUAAAUGCGGAAGAGAUAAGUGCUGAAAGCAUCUAAGCACGAAACUUGCCCCG